GGUGAUAAAAUUUCGCUUACAAUGAAAAUUACCUUGUGGCACCUUUAUAUUAAAUAGUAGGUAUAA
rnacentral:tRNA from 1 species